rnacentral:misc_RNA from 1 species
CCAGAGAAAGAUCUCGUUGCUUUGGGUUUCCAGAGCCUAAGAGUAAUUAUGAACGAUGGACUUACUUCGAUACCCACUGAAUGUCUCAAUGUAUGUGUAGAUGUCACCGGAGCAUACAGUGCUCAAAAGACUGAACUGAAUAUAAGUUUAACUGCAAUAGGCCUCUUAUGGACCACCACUGAUUUUAUUGUGAAGGGGCUUCUGCAUGGGCCUCCGGAAGAAAAGGAAACCAGUAUUCUUGAU